AACGCAUAUUGCGCCCGCUAGAAUUCUAGCGGGCAUGCCUGUUCGAGCGUCAUUUCACCCCUCAAGCUCUCUGUAGGCUUGUUGUUGAGGCACCUGUGGCACAGCGCCUAUGGGCCUUGAAAAUCAGUGGCGAGCCCGCCGGGUUUUUGAGCGCAGUAACUUAACCUCGCUCGGGAAGCCUGGAGGGUUUUCAGCCGUUAAACACCCACUGUAUUUGAAGUUUGACCUCGGAUCAGGUAGGAAUACCCGCUGAACUUAA
rnacentral:misc_RNA from 1 species